UGGGGAAUUUUGGACAAUGGGGGCAACCCUGAUCCAGCCAUGCCGCGUGUAUGAAGAAGGCCUUAGGGUUGUAAAGUACUUUUGUUAGGGAAGAAAAGUCAGCUGUGAAUAAUGGCUGAUACUGACGGUACCUAAAGAAUAAGCACCGGCUAACUACGUGCCAGCAGCCGCGGUAAUACGUAGGGUGCGAGCGUUAAUCGGAAUUAUUGGGCGUAAAGCGAGUGUAGACGGUUAUUUAAGCCAGAUGUGAAAUACCCGAGCCUAACUUGGGAGGUGCAUAUGGAACUGGGUAGCUAGAGUGUGUCAGAGGGAGGUAGAACUCCACGUGUAGCAGUGAAAUGCGUAGAGAUGUGGAAGAAUACCGAUGGCGAAGGCAGCCUCCUGGGAUAACACUGACGUUGAGGCUCGAAAGCGUGGGGAGCAAACAGGAUUAGAUACCCUGGUAGUCCACGCCCUAAACGAUGACAAUUAGCUGUUGGCCCCAUUAAGGGGUGAGUAGCGAAGCUAACGCGUGAAAUUGUCCGCCUGGGGAGUACGGUCGCAAGAUUA
rnacentral:rRNA from 1 species